UACAAAAAGAGUGUUUCCAAAGUGCUGAAUCAAAAGAAAAGAUUACGUCUGUGAGCUGAAUCCACAUAUCACAAAGCAGUUUCACAGAUUCUACAUAAGGAGUGUUUCCAAACUGCUGAAUAAAAAGAAUGGUUUACCUGUGAGCUGAAUGCAGACUUCACAAAGCAAUUUCACAGAUAACUUCUUUCUAGUUUUUAUCAUGAGAUAUUUGAUUUUUCACAAUAAGCCUUACUGAACUCUGAAAUGUCCCUUAGCAAAUUGUACAGAGUGUUUCCAAACUGCUGAAUCAAAAAAAAAAAAAAAGUUUAGCUCUCUGAGCUGAACUUAUACAUCACAAAGCCAUUUCACAGAUAGCUUCUUUUUAGUUUUUUUCAUGGGACAUUCAGGUUUUCACUACAGGACUUGUGCUCUGAAAUGGCCCUUUGCAUAUUCUAAAAAAAAGAGGGUUUCCUACCUGCAGAAUCAAAAGAAAGGUUUAACUCUGUGAGCUGAAACCACACAUCACAAAGUAGUUUCACAGAAAGCUUAUUUCUAGAUAUUAUCAAGAGAUAUCGGUUUUUCACUAUAGGGCUAGGGGGCUGUGAAUUGUCCCUUUGCAGAUUCUAUGAAAAGAGUGUUUCCAAACUGCUGAAUCAAAAGAAAGGUUAACUCUGUGGGCUGAAUCUACACAAUCCAAAGCAGUUUCACAGAUAGCUUCUUUCUAGUGUUUAUCCCUAGCUAUUCAGUUUUUCACUGUAGGCCUCACUGCACUCCGAAAUGUCUCUCCACAGAUUCUAUGUAAUGAGUAUUCACAAACUGCUGAAUAAAAAGAAAAGUUUAACCUGUGAGCUGAAUGCCAACAUCACAAAGCAGUUUUACAGACAACAUCUUCCCAGUUUUUAUCAUGAGAUAAUUGGUUUUUCACUAUAGGCCUUACUGAGCUCUGAAAUGUCCCUUCACAGAUUCUACAAAAAGAGUGUUUCCAAACUGCUUGAAUCAAAAGAAAAGAUGAAUUCUGUGAACUUAAUCCACAUAUCACAAAGCAGUUUCAGUUAGCUUCUUUCUGUUUUUCUUCAUGGGAUAUUCAGUUUUUCACUAUAGGCCUAGUGGCCUCUGAAAUGUCCCUUCACAGAUUCUACAAAAAGAGUAUUUCCAAGAGUUGAAUCAAAAGAAAGGUUUAACCCUGUGAUCUGAAUGCAGACAUCACAAAAAAGUUUCACAGAUAGCUUCUUCCUAAUUUUUAUCACGGGAUAUUGGGUUUUUUACUAUAAGACUUAAUGUGCUCUGAAAUGUCCCUUAGCAGAUUCUACAAAUAGAGCGUUUCCAAACUGCUGAAUUAAAAGAAAGUUUUAACUCUGGAAGCUGAAUCCAUAC
rnacentral:lncRNA from 1 species